UACGAAGGGGGCUAGCGUUGCUCGGAAUCACUGGGCGUAAAGGGUGCGUAGGCGGGUCUUUUAAGUCAGGGGUGAAAUCCUGGAGCUCAACUCCAGAACUGCCUUUGAUACUGAAGAUCUUGAGUUCGGGAGAGGUGAGUGGAACUGCGAAUGUAGAGGUGAAAUUCGUAGAUAUUCGCAAGAACACCAGUGGCGAAGGCGGCUCACUGGCCCGAUACUGACGCUGAGGCACGAAAGCGUGGGGAGCAAACAGG
rnacentral:rRNA from 1 species